GGGGUCGUAGCUCAGUUGGUAGAGCACCACAAUGGCAUUGUGGGGGUCAUCGGUUCGAACCCGUUCGGCUCCACCA
rnacentral:tRNA from 1 species